AGCCGGACAGAGCGUAGGGCGGGGCUUGAGGGGAGGAGUCGGCGGCGCUCUCUGUGCGUGCUGGGGCCGUGGCGUGGGGCGGGGCUUGCUGCUGAGAGACCCUGCGUUCUCAGCGCUCCAGGGGCGGCGGGCGGAGCUUGAGGAGGGGAGUCACAGCCCGCGCACCGAAACCGGGGGCGGGGCCCGGACAGGGCUGUUACGUCUCAGUUCCAAGCCCCUGGACUGAAAACCGGAAACCCAGAGUUUUGGUUUCGCAAGAGGCCUUCCGACGUGCGCUAUUGCCCGGGAGCUACGUCUGGCGAGGUCUCUCCCUGCUCAGUAGGUGAAGAAGCGCUGGAGAAACCUCAACCUGGACAGGGGAGAGUUCUUGACUCUGGGCGAGAAAGAAUUCUGGACAGGUCAGAGGAGUGUAAGUAAGGGAGGAAUUCAUUAAAGCAAGAGCAGCAGGGAAUGGCAGCUGCCUUGCAGGCUGCAGAGAACAGAUAACAUCAACAUACAAAAGAGAAGAAAGUAACACUUCUUGGAUCAAAAAAGCAGAAGCUGUGGGAUCAUGCCGGCUCAGAUUCACCAGUACUGGCCCUAAGUCAGCUCUGUGGAACCCUAACUUUAAAACUACAGGGCCAACUUGCCAGAUGGGUGAAUGGAAAGGAAGGUCACAUGUCCUCUAAAAGGAAAUCAACAGUUAGCCCCCAACUCGACUGGCACCUGGAAACCACCAACAGGAAAGGGCUGGACUCACUUGUGA